rnacentral:rRNA from 1 species
GAUGAACGCUGGCGGCGUGCUUAACACAUGCAAGUCGAACGGAAAGGCUCCUGCUUGCAGGGGUACUCGAGUGGCGAACGGGUGAGUAACACGUGGGUGAUCUGCCCUGCACUUCGGGAUAAGCCUGGGAAACUGGGUCUAAUACCGGAUAGGACGAUGGUUUGGAUGCCAUUGUGGAAAGUUUUUUCGGUGUGGGAUGAGCUCGCGGCCUAUCAGCUUGUUGGUGGGGUAAUGGCCAACCAAGGCGUCGACGGGUAGCCGGCCUGAGAGGGUGUACGGCCACAUUGGGACUGAGAUACGGCCCAGACUCCUACGGGAGGCAGCAGUGGGGAAUAUUGCACAAUGGGCGCAAGCCUGAUGCAGCGACGCCGCGUGGGGGAUGACGGCCUUCGGGUUGUAAACUCCUUUCGCUAGGGACGAAGCGCAAGUGACGGUACCUGGAGAAGAAGCACCGGCUAACUACGUG